GACGAACCGUGCGAACGUUGUUCGGAAUCACUGGGCUUAAAGGGCGCGUAGGCGGGUCAGCAAGUCCGGGGUGAAAUCUUUCGGCUCAACCGGAAAAGUGCCUUGGAUACUGCUGGUCUGGAGGGAGGUAGGGGUUGCUGGAACUUCUGGUGGAGCGGUGAAAUGCGUUGAUAUCAGAAGGAACGCCGGUGGCGAAAGCGAGCAACUGGACCUCUUCUGACGCUGAGGCGCGAAAGCCAGGGGAGCAAACGGG
rnacentral:rRNA from 1 species